GUGAUUCACACAAGUAUUUUCAAUCCGUGCACGCUUCUCUGGCUCCAGGGCCAGGUUCUGAAGCUGUCACGAUCUAGCUGGUGAAUAUAUUUGCACGUAAACGUUGAGUUGCUGCAACCAAAUAGUCAACUCCUGGCCCAAGGAAAGGGGAGGACAGAGCCUUGCUCCUUUCAGAGAGGAGCGCACGGAAGGGGCCCGCCGUGCCCAGAGAAGGGCUACGCAGAGCAUUUCAGGCCUCCUUACAGAGCAACGUUUUGUGUCUUCCCUGACAGAGGAGAGGGAUUGGAGGCCCCGGAGCAAGAAGCUGAAGGGAAAAGGACGCACAUCCUUGCUACGUGAAUAUUCCAGAAAGGCAAAUAGUUAGGCCACGUUGGUUGGCAUGGAAGCUGCCAGUUGGCCCCUCGCCCAUGAGGGAAGGAAACCCCCAAGACCACAAAAUACAAAGUCGUCCAGGAGAAGUGAUCACAUGCCGCCUGAGGCCUAGGGGGUCUGCUGAGGAGAAGCCAGCGAGGCCUGGCACCAGCCUCCACCACACAACAGACAGCCGUCCACGUUCAAAUCCACAUUGCAUGGCGGAGAGAACCGUGUGUGGUAGGGUCUUCGUUUGGCUUUGUGUGUCUUUGUCCUCCGAGACCUCAGUAAGGUGGAGUCAGGCAAGUCCACGGCCAGGGGCUCCAGGAGGUGUGGACACACCAAAGGCUGGGGGAGGAGUCGUCUCACCGUCCGUCCCCAAGGAUGCGGCGUCUGGGGACUCCUCAUGAAACCUGCCUUGGUGUCCAGCUUGGGAAGUGGACAAAAAUUCUCCAUUUUGGAGCCUAGCUGAUUAGCUUGUGGAAGAGAAACACAGCUUUGGCACCUGAUGCCACAAUCUUGGUUCCAGCCAUGAUUCCUUUUUUGUUAUUUAUUGACGUGGAUGAAAGGUGAUAGAAGAAAGAAAAAAAUUGAGCUUCAGAGAAGGUAACAGUAGUGUCUGCCUGGAAUGCUCUUCUCACUGCAGACGUGACUUUUUUUCCUCAUCCUUUAAACCUCACUUUAAAUAUCACCUGCCCCGAGAGCCUCCCCAAUCACCAGUCUACUGUGCAUACCCCCUGUUGAGGGAGGACCAGAAGGCAAGCUGCGGACCAAGCAGAUGCACCACGACCCUCCCCGCGCCCCUCCCCGCCCCCGGUGGGAUAAGUGGGACAUUCCUCAGGCACUCCUGGCUGCCCUAAGCAGUUUUAUCAAUAACCUAGCUUCCAGGAGGAAAUGCAGAUGCAAUUAAAUGUCCUUAUAACCUGCAGCCCAUUGACAGAUACUUGAAGUGGGCAGAGUCCGGUUCCUCCAGGAAGCUCCCAACUGUCUUAGUGUCAGUGCCUUGCUAGAAGGAAAACCCCCUUAAGUUGACAAUGGCAAGGCCUCUAGGAUUUUGUGAGUCCACUUUACCAUAUGAAAAUCCUUUUGAAGCCUCCCUUUUCCUUCCCUCCCCCAACUCCCAGGGGUCUAAUCAACCUCCCCUCCCAGGCCUGGGAAAGCUGCUCUUCCUGCCCAUGGGUCCUGUCCCUGGGCUUUAAUAAAACCACCAUUUUGCACCCA
rnacentral:lncRNA from 12 species